rnacentral:lncRNA from 1 species
CGCAAUAGGAAAACACUGUAGAAAAUGUUCAGCACUCUGUAUAUAGCUCUUCUUCCGUGCUGAAGUUCUUCCUACCAGUGUGUUUUUUGCCCAGAAAUCAGCACUUACACUAAGAUGUCAGUAAACUUACUAAAUUCCUGAGAAAUUCUCUUCGAGUCAAACUCCGCCAUUUGUUACUUGCUCACACAUUACACGAUUGACCUCUUACCAUGAGUGAGGACUGCUCUGGCCAGAAAGGGAAUCAGAAGAGUCCUGGUACAAAAAAAAGUCCAUCUAGAGCUUAGCAAAUGACUCACUGCACUGAAGAUGCUUUGGCUCUCAGCUCUGAGGAGGCCGAGCUCUUCUGCUGAGAAGUAGCUGCAAUUAUGAAGUUAAUGGAGUAGUCAAAUACUACAACGUUGAAUGUACCCAAGAACCUGCAAACCUAUGCUGUCUGCCUAAGCAAUCUGCAUUAUGUGCUGGCAGCUAUGGCUCCUGUGGAAUUUAUGUUCUGAGCACUGAGGAAGAGCAUCUCCCCCUGAAGUCAUCUAGCACUGAUUUCACAUUCUGGCUAUCCUGUAUUUGCUGUAAUUGGAAAAAU